rnacentral:lncRNA from 1 species
AAUUUUCGUGUCUGCCCUUCCAUUAUGUGACUCAAGAAAAAAUUCUAAAAAUAUGGGUAACAAUUGUAUCGAAAAGAGAAAAUCGAGUGCACCUUUUUAUGUUAGGGCGUGUUUGAGUUGAAUAUUUUGUCUUGAAAACGUACAAAGCAAUAAUAUUUCAUACAUCAUCUCGCUUCAGAUACUAUCAUUUUUAUAUAUCAAAGCUACAGGUUGACUUUAUAACAUAAAAACAAUCACAGUACUAAAAGAUGAAAUAUAUGGGUCAAGUGAAAUACCUAUCUUAUGAAUCAUAAAAACAGAGUAGGUGUGUUCGAAUAGCUAUUUUUUUUUACUAAAAGUACUUGACGACAGUCUUUCAAGUUGGAUGAUGAAAAUGCUUAUCUUCGAAAAAUAA